rnacentral:rRNA from 1 species
CAGCCGCCACGGGAAUACGUAGGGUGCGAGCGUUAAUCGGAAUUACUGGGCGUAAAGCGUGCGCAGGCGGUUCGUUAAGACAGAUGUGAAAUCCCCGGGCUUAACCUGGGAACUGCAUUUGUGACUGACGGGCUAGAGUAUGGCAGAGGGGGGUAGAAUUCCACGUGUAGCAGUGAAAUGCGUAGAGAUGUGGAGGAAUACCGAUGGCGAAGGCAGCCCCCUGGGCCAAUACUGACGCUCAUGCACGAAAGCGUGGGGAGCAAACAGGAUUAGAUACCCCCGUAGUCCCUGUCUCUUAUAC